rnacentral:lncRNA from 1 species
CGGGUGGGGGCAUCAAGGUGUUGGAACGCUGGUCUGGUCUCAGCUGGUCGGGUCUGUCGUGGCUCUAUUCUGGCCCGCCCGCUCCAAGCCGGGAGUUGAGCCGUGUGGAUUGGGCGAAGGCUCAGGCUUCACGAUUCCUAGAGCGGAGGGCACCGCGUAAGGCUGGCUUCACAGAGCAACGAUCACCUCCCGCCCUCGGCAGUGGAAGGAUAACGGGUCGGUGCCACCCGGAUCCAUCAUGGCCCGCUGGACCGUUCCAAUUGAACCAACGCUUUUCAAAUUAGUGCAAAGAAGGCCUACUGACGUUCCGAUUAGAAGAUGCGACUAUGGGACAGAGGUUCAGGGCCGAAGGGGUAGAGGAAGACCUAGGAAAACUUUGGAAGAGACUCUAAGAAAAGACUUAGAGUACUUAGAUCUAACGAAGGACAUGACACAGGAUCGAGCACAAUGGCGUUCUAAGAUUUAUAUAGCCGAUCCCACUCAGUGACUUGGAUUUUCCAAGUCUCCAACCGAGAAGUUUUCCUCACUCGGGAAAUUAAGGGAACACUACCCCAACCUACAUGCUCCACUCAGAAAGCUUCAACAUACAAGCUUUAACAAAAGAAAAUUCAAAGAACUUAGCGAAGAAGGCUUUGGUGUAUUUAACACAAUACGUUGAAAUGAAGGAAAGCUUAUUUAUUG